rnacentral:lncRNA from 1 species
CACACAGCCUGCAUUGUCCUGCAGCUUGCAAAUUAUAUAAAUGUAUAUGCCAGCUUUUCAGAGUUUUCUGCAAGAAAGUUGCAUCAUUUUGGAGAGGGUUUUGAAGACUUAUCUUACAAGGGAUUUUCGUGCUUGUCUAGGAAAUCAUUCUUCCUUAUUUCACUAUUUUUGUUACUAUUUUUUUAAUCCUGGCAAUAUGUCAGGGUUGUGUGUAUAAAAUUUGCAAUUUCAGCAAUUUAAGUGUACAAAUCAAUGGUAUUAAUGACAUUUACGUGGUUUGCAACCAUCACCACAAACUAUCUCCAAAAUAUUUCAUCAACUUAAAACUCUAUACUCAUUAAGC